GAUGAACGCUGGCGGCGUGCCUAAUACAUGCAAGUCGAGCGAACGGACGAGAAGCUUGCUUCUCUGAUGUUAGCGGCUGACGGGUGAGUAACACGUGGAUAACCUACCUAUAAGACUGGGAUAACUUCGGGAAACCGUAGCUAAUACCGGAUAAUAGUUUGAACCGCAUGGUUCAAAAGUUAAAGAUGGUCUUGCUGUCACUUAUAGAUGGAUCCGCGCUGCAUUAGCUAGUUGGUAAGGUAACGGCUUACCAAGGCAACGAUGCAUAGCCGACCUGAGAGGGUGAUUGGCCACACUGGAACUGAGACAGGUUCACGACUCCUAAGGGAGGCAGCAGUAGGGAAUAUUCCGCAAUGGGCGAAAGCCUGACGGAGCAACGCCGCGUGAGUGAUGAAGGUCUUAGGAUCGUAAAACUCCGUUAUUAGGGAAGAACAUAUGUGUAAGUAACUGUGCACAUCUUGACGGUACCUAAUCAGAAAGACACGGCUAACUACGUG
rnacentral:rRNA from 1 species